AUUGAACGCUGGCGGCAGGCCUAACACAUGCAAGUCGAGCGAGCGGCGGACGGGUGAGUAAUGUAUGGGGACUGCCCGAUAGAGGGGGAUACUACUGGAAAAGGUAGAUAAUACCGCAUACUAUCGGAUAACCCAUAUGGGAUUAGCUAGUAGGUGAGGAAAUGGCUCACCUAGGCGACGAUCCCUAGCUGGUCUGAGAGGAUGAUCAGCCACACUGGGACUGAGACACUGCCCAGACUCCUACGGAGGCAGCAGUGGAGAAUAUUGCACUAUGGGCGCACGCCUGAUGCAGCCAUGCGGCGUGUAUGAAGAAGGCCCUAGUGUUUUAUAGUACUUUCAGUCGGGAGGGGUUACCGACAGAAGAAGCACCGGCGAACUCCGUGCCAGCAGCCGGGUAAUUC
rnacentral:rRNA from 1 species